AUUGAACGCUGGCGGAAUGCUUUACACAUGCAAGUCGAACGGCAGCACGGACUUCGGUCUGGUGGCGAGUGGCGAACGGGUGAGUAAUGUAUCGGAACGUGCCCAGUCGUGGGGGAUAACGUAGUGAAAAUUACGCUAAUACCGCAUACGAUCUACGGAUGAAAGCGGGGGAUCGCAAGACCUCGCGCGAUCGGAGCGGCCGAUAUCAGAUUAGGUAGUUGGUGGGGUAAAGGCCCACCAAGCCGACGAUCUGUAGCUGGUCUGAGAGGACGACCAGCCACACUGGAACUGAGACACGGUCCAGACUCCUACGGGAGGCAGCAGUGGGGAAUUUUGGACAAUGGGCGAAAGCCUGAUCCAGCCAUUCCGCGUGCAGGAUGAAGGCCCUCGGGUUGUAAACUGCUUUUGUACAGAACGAAAAGGUUUCUACUAGUACUAGGAGCUCAUGACGGUACUGUAAGAAUAAGCACCGGCUAACUACGUGCCAGCAGCCGCCGUAA
rnacentral:rRNA from 1 species